AGCAGAGAGCUGGACACGGGGCUUGGGGCUCAGGCAGUCGGCCUCCGGGUCUCCAAGGUGAAGCAGGAAGUGGGUGGUCGGGGCCGGGUGGCGGCUGAGGGCAGGGGCCACAGCGGUGCCGCCCACAGGAUGCCCUCACCGUGGUGGUGGACGACCUCCGCCUGUGCUCUGUGAAGCCGUGUGAGGACAUCGAGCGGAGGUUCUGCUUCGAGGUGCUGUCACCCACCAAGUGAGGAGGCCCAGCCCAGGGUGGGGCGGGGGGCGUACCUGCCCACCGGAGCUGACGCCCACCCCUCCACUGCCUGCAGGAGCUGCAUGCUACAGGCAGACUCCGAGAAGCUGCGGCAGGCCUGGGUCCAAGCUGUGCAGGCCAGCAUCGCCUCCGCCUACCGCGAGAGCCCCGAC
rnacentral:sRNA from 1 species